rnacentral:rRNA from 1 species
GUGAGGAAUAUUGGACAAUGGGCGCAAGCCUGAUCCAGCCAUGCCGCGUGCAGGAAGACGCAUCUAUGGUGUGUAAACUGCUUUUGUACGGGAAGAAACACUCCCUCGUGAGGGAGCUUGACGGUACCGUAAGAAUAAGGAUCGGCUAACUCCGUGCCAGCAGCCGCGGUAAUACGGAGGAUCCAAGCGUUAUCCGGAAUCAUUGGGUUUAAAGGGUCCGUAGGCGGUUUGAUAAGUCAGUGGUGAAAGCCCAUCGCUCAACGAUGGAACGGCCAUUGAUACUGUUAGACUUGAAUUACAAGGAAGUAACUAGAAUAUGUAGUGUAGCGGUGAAAUGCUUAGAUAUUACAUGGAAUACCAAUUGCGAAGGCAGGUUACUACUUGUGGAUUGACGCUGAUGGACGAAAGCGUGGGGAGCGAACAGGAUUAGAUACCCCGGUAGUCC